AGAGCGAACGCUGGCGGCAGGCUUAACACAUGCAAGUCGAACGGAUCCUUCGGGAUUAGUGGCGGACGGGUGAGUAACACGUGGGAACGUGCCUUUAGGUUCGGAACAACACAGGGAAACUUGUGCUAAUACCGGAUGUGCCCUUCGGGGGAAAGAUUUAUCGCCUUUAGAGCGGCCCGCGUCUGAUUAGCUUGUUGGUGAGGUAAAGGCUCACCAAGGCUACGAUCAGUAGCUGGUUUGAGAGAACGACCAGCCACAUUGGGACUGAGACACGGCCCAAACUCCUACGGGAGGCAGCAGUGGGGAAUCUUGGACAAUGGGGGAAACCCUGAUCCAGCGAUGCCGCGUGAGUGAUGAAGGCCUUCGGGUUGUAAAACUCUUUCGACGGGGACGAUAAUGACGGUACCCGUAGAAGAAGCUCCGGCUAACUUCGUGCCAGCAGCCGC
rnacentral:rRNA from 1 species